rnacentral:rRNA from 1 species
CCUACGGGCGGCAGCAGUGGGGGAUAUUGCACAAUGGGGGAAACCCUGAUGCAGCGACGCCGCGUGUGGGAAGACGGUCCUCUGGAUUGUAAACCACUGUCCCCAGGGACGAAGAUGACGGUACCUGGGGAGGAAGCUCCGGCAAACUACGUGCCAGAAGCCGCGGUAAUACGUAGGGAGCGAGCGUUGUCCGGAAUUACUGGGUGUAAGGGGAGCGUAGGCGGGACUGCAAGUUGGGGGUCAAAUCUACCGGCUCAACCGGUAGCCGCACUCAAAACUGCAGUUCGUGAGUGAAGUAGAGGCAGGCGGAAGUCCCGGUGUAGCGGUGAAAUGCAUAGAUAUUAGGAGGAACACCAGUGGCGAAGGCGGCCUGCUGGGCUUUUACUGACGCUGAGGCUCGAAAGUGUGGGGAGCAAACAGGAUUAGAUACCCGAGUAGUC